GUUUUGUCAAUGAUGUGCCCGGGAAUUUAGGGGAAUCUUCAGUUUGUAACACAGAAACUACCACUCUUCCAGGAAAAGUAUAUUUAAGGAGAACACGAGGUCGUUUUUUCACAUUUGCAUUGAAGGCAAACAUAACAGGCGACAUGUCAUUUCAGGUGUUCAUAUCGAGUAUAGAAGCACAAAAUGGUGAGGCAUGCUUUGAAAGUAUUGAAAUAGACGACAAACAGAUACCAAACAGUCAGGUCACUGUUUCCUCUGGAACCACAAAUCACAUAUCAACACAUUUAAAC